rnacentral:rRNA from 1 species
GAAGAUGUUUUGGCGGAUUUGAGAGAAUUUUCAGCUCUGAUNCCGGCGAUGUCCGAAUGGGGAAACCCAGUGCAAUUCGUUGCACUAUCGUUAACUGAAUACAUAGGUUAACGAGGCGAACCGGGGGAACUGAAACAUCUAAGUACCCCGAGGAAAAGAAAUCAACCGAGAUUCCCCCAGUAGCGGCGAGCGAACGGGGAGCAGCCCAGAGUCUGAAUCAGCUUGUGUGUUAGUGGAACGGUCUGGAAAGUCCGACGGUACAGGGUGAUAGUCCCGUACACCAAAAUGCACAGGUUGUGAACUCGAAGAGUAGGGCGGGACACGUGGUAUCCUGUCUGAAUAUGGGGGGACCAUCCUCCAAGGCUAAAUACUCCUGACUGACCGAUAGUGAACCAGUACCGUGAGGGAAAGGCGAAAAGAACCCCGGCGAGGGGAGUGAAAAAGAACCUGAAACCGUGUACGUACAAGCAGUGGGAGCACCUUCGGGUGUGACUGCGUACCUUUUGUAUAAUGGGUCAGCGACUUAUAUUCUGUAGCAAGGUUAACCGUAUAGGGGAGCCGCAGGGAAACCGAGUCUUAACUGGGCGUUAAGUUGCAGGGUAUAGACCCGAAACCCGGUGAUCUAGCCAUGGGCAGGUUGAAGGUUGGGUAACACUAACUGGAGGACCGAACCGACUAAUGUUGAAAAAUUAGCGGAUGACUUGUGGCUGGGGGUGAAAGGCCAAUCAAACCGGGAGAUAGCUGGUUCUCCCCGAAAGCUAUUUAGGUAGCGCCUCGUGAACUCAUCUUCGGGGGUAGAGCACUGUUUCGGCUAGGGGGUCAUCCCGACUUACCAACCCGAUGCAAACUACGAAUACCGAAGAAUGUUAUCACGGGAGACACACGGCGGGUGCUAACGUCCGUCGUGAAGAGGGAAACAACCCAGACCGCCAGCUAAGGUCCCAAAGUCAUGGUUAAGUGGGAAACGAUGUGGGAAGGCACAGACAGCCAGGAUGUUGGCUUAGAAGCAGCCAUCAUUUAAAGAAAGCGUAAUAGCUCACUGGUCGAGUCGGCCUGCGCGGAAGAUGUAACGGGGCUAAACCAUGCACCGAAGCUGCGGCAGCGACACUAUGUGUUGUUGGGUAGGGGAGCGUUCUGUAAGCCUGCGAAGGUGUGCUGUGAGGCAUGCUGGAGGUAUCAGAAGUGCGAAUGCUGACAUAAGUAACGAUAAAGCGGGUGAAAAGCCCGCUCGCCGGAAGACCAAGGGUUCCUGUCCAACGUUAAUCGGGGCAGGGUGAGUCGACCCCUAAGGCGAGGCCGAAAGGCGUAGUCGAUGGGAAACAGGUUAAUAUUCCUGUACUUGGUGUUACUGCGAAGGGGGGACGGAGAAGGCUAUGUUAGCCGGGCGACGGUUGUCCCGGUUUAAGCAUGUAGGCUGAUUGUCCAGGCAAAUCCGGAUAAUCAAGGCUGAGGUGUGAUGACGAGGCACUACGGUGCUGAAGUAACAAAUGCCCUGCUUCCAGGAAAAGCCUCUAAGCAUCAGGUAACAUUAAAUCGUACCCCAAACCGACACAGGUGGUCAGGUAGAGAAUACCAAGGCGCUUGAGAGAACUCGGGUGAAGGAACUAGGCAAAAUGGUGCCGUAACUUCGGGAGAAGGCACGCUGGUGUGUAGGUGAAGUCCCUGCGGAUGGAGCUGAGACCAGUCGAAGAUACCAGCUGGCUGCAACUGUUUAUUAAAAACACAGCACUGUGCAAACACGAAAGUGGACGUAUACGGUGUGACGCCUGCCCGGUGCCGGAAGGUUAAUUGAUGGGGUUAUCCGUAAGGAGAAGCUCUUGAUCGAAGCCCCGGUAAACGGCGGCCGUAACUAUAACGGUCCUAAGGUAGCGAAAUUCCUUGUCGGGUAAGUUCCGACCUGCACGAAUGGCGUAAUGAUGGCCAGGCUGUCUCCACCCGAGACUCAGUGAAAUUGAACUCGCUGUGAAGAUGCAGUGUACCCGCGGCAAGACGGAAAGACCCCGUGAACCUUUACUAUAGCUUGACACUGAACAUUGAGCCUUGAUGUGUAGGAUAGGUGGGAGGCUUUGAAGCGUGGACGCCAGUCUGCGUGGAGCCAACCUUGAAAUACCACCCUUUAAUGUUUGAUGUUCUAACGUUGGCCCCUUACCGGGGUUGCGGACAGUGUCUGGUGGGUAGUUUGACUGGGGCGGUCUCCUCCCAAAGCGUAACGGAGGAGCACGAAGGUUAGCUAAUCCUGGUCGGACAUCAGGAGGUUAGUGCAAUGGCAUAAGCUAGCUUGACUGCGAGCGUGACGGCGCGAGCAGGUGCGAAAGCAGGUCAUAGUGAUCCGGUGGUUCUGAAUGGAAGGGCCAUCGCUCAACGGAUAAAAGGUACUCCGGGGAUAACAGGCUGAUACCGCCCAAGAGUUCAUAUCGACGGCGGUGUUUGGCACCUCGAUGUCGGCUCAUCACAUCCUGGGGCUGAAGUAGGUCCCAAGGGUAUGGCUGUUCGCCAUUUAAAGUGGUACGCGAGCUGGGUUUAGAACGUCGUGAGACAGUUCGGUCCCUAUCUGCCGUGGGCGCUGGAGAAUUGAGGGGGGCUGCUCCUAGUACGAGAGGACCGGAGUGGACGCAUCACUGGUGUUCGGGUUGUCAUGCCAAUGGCACUGCCCGGUAGCUAAAUGCGGAAGAGAUAAGUGCUGAAAGCAUCUAAGCACGAAACUUGCCCCGAGAUGAGUUCUCCCUGAGACUUUAAGUCUCCUGAAGGAACGUUAAAGACGAUGACGUUGAUAGGCCGGGUGUGUAAGCGCAGCGAUGCGUUGAGCUAACCGGUACUAAUGAACCGUGAGGCUUAACCUU